GGGUUGUGAGGUUAAGCGACUAAGCGUACACGGUGGAUGCCCUGGCAGUCAGAGGCGAUGAAGGACGUGCUAAUCUGCGAUAAGCGCCGGUAAGGUGAUAUGAACCGUUAUAACCGGCGAUUUCCGAAUGGGGAAACCCAGUGUGACUCGUCACACUAUCAUUAACUGAAUCCAUAGGUUAAUGAGGCGAACCGGGGGAACUGAAACAUCUAAGUACCCCGAGGAAAAGAAAUCAACCGAGAUUCCCCCAGUAGCGGCGAGCGAACGGGGAGGAGCCCAGAGCCUGAAUCAGCAUGUGUGUUAGUGGAAGCGUCUGGAAAGGCGCGCGAUACAGGGUGACAGCCCCGUACACAAAAGCGCAUGUGCUGUGAGCUCGAUGAGUAGGGCGGGACACGUGGUAUCCUGUCUGAAUAUGGGGGGACCAUCCUCCAAGGCUAAAUACUCCUGACUGACCGAUAGUGAACCAGUACCGUGAGGGAAAGGCGAAAAGAACCCCGGCGAGGGGAGUGAAAAAGAACCUGAAACCGUGUACGUACAAGCAGUGGGAGCACCCUUCGGGGUGUGACUGCGUACCUUUUGUAUAAUGGGUCAGCGACUUAUAUUCUGUAGCAAGGUUAACCGAAUAGGGGAGCCGGAGGGAAACCGAGUCUUAAU
rnacentral:rRNA from 1 species